rnacentral:rRNA from 1 species
UGCAGUCGAACGAGAAAGUGAUCUUCGGAUCGCGAGUAGAGUGGCGCACGGGUGAGUAACACGUGGAUAACCUGCCCUAUGAUCUGGGAUAACACUUCGAAAGGGGUGCUAAUACCGGAUAAGCCCACACAACCUUCGGGGCGAGUGGGAAAAGAUUUAUCGUCAUAGGAUGGGUCCGCGGUCCAUUAGCUAGUUGGUGGGGUAAUGGCCUACCAAGGCUACGAUGGAUAGCUGGUCUGAGAGGAUGAUCAGCCACACUGGAACUGAGACACGGUCCAGACUCCUACGGGAGGCAGCAGUGGGGAAUUUUGCGCAAUGGGGGAAACCCUGACGCAGCAAUACCGCGUGAAGGAUGAAGGCCCUUGGGUCGUAAACUUCUGUCAGAGGGGAAGAAAUACUCGCAAGAGUGCUGACGGUACCCUCAAAGGAAGCACCGGCUAACUCCGUG